rnacentral:rRNA from 1 species
GACGAACGCUGGCGGCGUGCUUAACACAUGCAAGUCGAACGGAAAGGCCCUGCUUUUGUGGGGUGCUCGAGUGGCGAACGGGUGAGUAACACGUGAGUAAACUGCCCUUGACUUUGGGAUAACUUCAGGAAAAUGGGGCUAAUACCGGAUAGGAGCUCCUGCUGCAUGGUGGGGGUUGGAAAGUUUCGGCGGUUGGGGAUGGACUCGCGGCUUAUGAGCUUGUUGGUGGGGUAGUGGCUUACCAAGGCUGUGACGGGUAGCCGGCCUGAGAGGGUGACCGGCGUCCUGGGGACUGCGAUACGGCCCAGACGCCUACGUGAGGCAGCAGUGGGAAAUAUUGCACAAUGGGCGGGAGCCAGAUGCAGAAACGCCGCGUGCGGGAUGACGGCCUUCGGGUUGUAAACCGCUUUCGCAUGUGACGAAGCGUGAGUGACGGUAAUGGGUAAAGAAGCACCGGCUAACUACGUG